UAAUGUCAAUAUUGAGAUAUAGCAAAAAUAUUAUACGAAAUAACAAACCAAUUUGUCAUUACAAAUACAAAACGAGCAACAAUAUAUUACAACCAAUACUAUCAACAGUACAAAGCACAAAGAUACUCAAAUCAAAUCCUAAUUAGGCUUUAAUAUGUACAACCAAAAUUGCUAGGGAUAACAAAUGCUAAGAUAGACCCUGUGCCGAUAUACAAUGAGUAUCAUGUUUGCAUUAAUUGGCAAAGUCCAUAAUGGAAGUAGCUUGUAAGAGCUUCAUCGCCAAGUUUACUACAAUCCACAUCAACCUACAGAGUCCAAUGGAAAAAAAAUUAUUAAACAGAAAUUUACAUUGGUAGUUAGAUAAAUUAAACCUGCAUUAGCCUACAUAUAUCAACUAAGACAUUGAUCCUCAUAUUGUUGCAUGAAAAGAAAUGAAAAUGAGGGACUUUAAAAGAAAUGCUAAGGAUCUCUUUUAUUAACCACAAGUACAAAAUGUAAACUGAAUUUCAAACUACAAGUUGGUAGCAUGUACUUAAGAUGAAGAAAUCAUUAUGACCCCAAUUGACAUGAAACCAAUUGUAAAGUAACGUCAAGGCUGUUUCCUUUAACACAAAAAUAGUAAAUGCAUUCACCCAUUGUAGCUCAUUCAAAAUUGAGAAGUAGCUAAGCAAGCGCAACAUUCGGACUUGGAAAGCAUGAAAUGAACUUGGAAAAAGGAAUUAGAUUUUACUGCCAACAAGGCUUCCAAGGUGCAAAUAGCCAAUGAGAUCUUUUUUUUUCUAAUCCUUAUUAUUUUUGUCCAGUAUGUUCACUUAAAAAAAACUAUAUUCUAUUUACUAGAUCUUUAGUUAAGAAAUAAACAAAAAAUUAAAUCAUCAAAAAGCAAAAAGAUCAAAGGCAUUAAAACUUGCACAAACAUUCAGGAGGAGGAGAAGUCAUCACCUAAGAGAAUCACAUGCAACGCAAUGAAAGCAUUAGAAUUAGCCCAAAGGAAAGGAAAAAAUAUGCUUCACGAAUGGUCCUACAACACCGAAACACAAAACAAUAGAUAAUGAUGAACCACCACAAACCAGUCCAAAGACAAGCAAAAUCACCUACACCAUCAAUCCUAAUCACCAACCGGAGUAGAAAAUCAUCCAUAAUUUCAGUUAAGUCACCGAAUAAAUAAGGCUUAAAUCUUAGAAUACGUCAUAAUCAGUGUUUAGCAUUCAAAAAUUGUGUAAGAUACAGGGGGUUUGGGACAAAAGGGGACAAUUAGGGCUGGGCAACGAGAGGUACGGAGGAAUGGAAGCGAGAGUGGUAAAGAGAGGAGAUUGAGCAAUACGACAAAGCAGGGGAAAAAUCAAAUCGUGGAAGGAAGAAUUCUAGUAUGAAAAUAUGUUGGAGACUACCUGAAAUCUUAGAUCUGAAAUUUUGACGGGCCGUUUUCAUUUUGCCUUCCAGUAAGACCCAUUUCUCUACUCCAACUGAGAUGCCUAUUCACUCUAAUCCACUGAAGUAGAAGCCUACAAUUUCAAAAAGUUUAUCUUGCGAUUGUUAAAUUGACCAAAAUUCAAGAAAAAAGCAAUUGACAAAACAGAGACGAAAAUAACAUAUCUGCUUAAAAAACCUACACCAUCGCUUUUCCUUGAAGUUUGCCAUUGCAUCGGAAGGGUCUUUAAAGUGUGUCCAUGAUUGUAUAAAUUCAGAUCUGGAUGCUAGAGAGGAAGAGGGGAACCAUAUGUCUAUGGUAAACUGAAAUUGAUAGAGAGGGAAAGAGAGAUAGAAGGAGAAAGGUGCAGGGGAGGUUGUGAUUGAACUUUCGAGGGCUCUGAUCUGAGAACAAUAUUUGGGAAAGUAGCCUUGCAAGUAUGGAAGGUUUGGAAUUCAUGUGGUGCUACGCUUAACAAGUGCUGUGCCAGGAAUGGUUAAAAAAUUUUCAAUGUGCGG
rnacentral:lncRNA from 1 species